CAGCAGCCACGGUAAUACGUAGGUGGCAAGCGUUGUCCGGAAUUAUUGGGCGUAAAGGGCUCGCAGGCGGUUUCUUAAGUCUGAUGUGAAAGCCCCCGGCUCAACCGGGGAGAGUCAUUGGAAACUGGGAAACUUGAGUGCAGAAGAGGAGAGUGGAAUUCCACGUGUAGCGGUGAAAUGCGUAGAGAUGUGGAGGAACACCAGUGGCGAAGGCGACUCUCUGGUCUGUAACUGACGCUGAGGAGCGAAAGCGUGGGGAGCGAACAGGAUUAGAUACCCGCGUAGUCCCUGUCUCUUAUAC
rnacentral:rRNA from 1 species